AUACGUAGGUGGCAAGCGUUGUCCGGAAUUACUGGGUGUAAAGGGAGCGCAGGCGGGGGAGCAAGUCAGCUGUGAAAAGCAUGGGCUUAACCGAUGAACUGCAGUUGAAACUGUUCUUCUUGAGUGCAGUAGAGGUUGGCGGAAUUCCGAGUGUAGCGGUGAAAUGCGUAGAUAUUCGGAGGAACACCGGUGGCGAAGGCGGCCAACUGGGCUUUUACUGACGCUGAGGCUCGAAAGUGUGGGGAGCAAACAGGAUUAGAUACCCUGGUAGUCCACACUGUAAACGAUGAUUGCUAGGUGUGGGGGGUCUGACCCCUUCUGUGCCGCAGCUAACGCAAUAAGCAAUCCACCUGGGGAGUACGGCCGCAAGGCUGAAACUCAAAUGAAUUGACGGGG
rnacentral:rRNA from 1 species